GCUGAGCAUAAGAAUUGAGAUGAACAUUGACUUCAGUCUUGCAAAUAUUUAAAUGCAUCCUGUAAUUGUGAACUGACUGGAUGUCUGUGCUCUACCUCACGAUAUUGCUGUAGAUCCAGCCAGUGGUAUUUGGGUUGACAAGCUCCACAAAGACAUACAUCUAGAGAAUACCUGUCCUGGAGAAUUCAUCUGCCGAGUUGGAGAGGAAUUACCCUCAAAGUUGGGGAAACAAGGAGCAGAAAUAGCUGAAAAU
rnacentral:lncRNA from 1 species